GAUUUCUCGACCGGUAUUGGAUCAGCGUGGAUCUCCGAUCGCAACAGAGACACUCUCAGCGUCCUCCUGGUCAGCGGAUGAGAUCUGGCUAACCAUAGAUUCUACCGGAGGAUCCUGAGCUCAGCACAGAACCCGCUGAUAUCCUGUCCUUUAAACUCAGGAACAAACUCUUCAUACCGCCCGACUGUUCGACCACCUGCACGCUACAAUACAAAUGUAUUAAUCCCCCACAUGUGGAGUGUUCAGGUCUGACAAGAUACUAAAAGUCCACAGCCGCCGCAGUUUAGCCCUGCCGUUAAUAUCUCCAGAGCGGGCCUGGGUCCUCCUUCCGGGUCCGGUU